rnacentral:rRNA from 1 species
CCUACGGGCGGCAGCAGUGGGGAAUAUUGGGCAAUGGGCGCAAGCCUGACCCAGCAACGCCGCGUGAAGGAAGAAGGCCCUCGGGUUGUAAACUUCUUUUAUUCGGGACGAAACAAAUGGCGGUCCCGAGUCACUAAGCCGCUGCUAACUACGUGCCAGCAGCCGCGGUAAUACGUAGGUGGCACGCGUUAUCCGGAUUUACUGGGUGUAAAGGGCGUGUAGGCGGGAGAGCAAGUCAGACGUGACAUUCCAGGGCUCAACCCUGGAACUGCGUUUGAAACUGUUCUGCUUGAGUGCAGGAGAGGAAGGCGGAACUCCGUGGGUAGCGGUGAAAUGCGUAGAUAUACGGAGGAACACCAGUGGCGAAGGCGGCCUGCUGGACAGUAACUGACGCUGAGGCGCGAAAGCGUGGGGAGCAAACAGGAUUAGAUACCCCAGUAGUC